AAGCUCGUAGUUGAAUUUCGGGGUUAGUAGGUUGGUCAUGCCUCUGGUAUGUACUGGUCUCACUGAUCCCUCCUUCCUGAUGAACCGUAAUGCCAUUAAUUUGGUGUUGCGGGAAAUUUGGACUGUUACUUUGAAAAAAUUAGAGUGUUUAAAGCAAGCUAACGCUUGAAUACAUUAGCAUGGAAUAAUGAAAUAGGACGUUCGAUCCUAUUUUGUUGGUUUCUAGGAUUGACGUAAUGAUUAAUAGGGAUUGUUGGG
rnacentral:rRNA from 1 species